rnacentral:misc_RNA from 1 species
AAUUCUCAAACCUUCUUGGUUUUUAUGACCAAGAAGGCUUUGGACUUUGGAGGUCUUUGCUGGCUUUGCAAAAAGCCAGCUCCUCUUAAAUGCAUUAGUGGGGUCCUCUUUGCCGGUCCUCAGGCGUUGAUAAGAUGUUUCUACGUCUUGGGAUUUGCUCUGUUUAUUGGGAACCUGCUUCUAACCGUCUCUCUAUGAAGAGACAUUGUUCGAGCCUUGCUCGACCCACGAA